rnacentral:tRNA from 1 species
CCCUGAGUGGUAUAAAACGUUAAUGCACUCAGCUGCUAACUGAAAGGUUGGUGGUUCAAGUUCACCCAGAGGAG